rnacentral:tRNA from 1 species
AACAUAGUGCCUGAUCUAAAAGGGUAGCUUUGAUAGAGCUAAUCAUGUAACUUUAUUACCUAUGUUA